GCCCAGCUUGCUGGGUGGAUUAGUGGCGAACGGGUGAGUAACACGUGAGUAACCUGCCCUUAACUCUGGGAUAAGCCUGGGAAACUGGGUCUAAUACUGGAUAGGAGCGUCCACCGCAUGGUGGGUGUUGGAAAGAUUUAUCGGUUUUGGAUGGACUCGCGGCCUAUCAGCUUGUUGGUGAGGUAAUGGCUCACCAAGGCGACGACGGGUAGCCGGCCUGAGAGGGUGACCGGCCACACUGGGACUGAGACACGGCCCAGACUCCUACGGGAGGCAGCAGUGGGGAAUAUUGCACAAUGGGCGCAAGCCUGAUGCAGCGACGCCGCGUGAGGGAUGACGGCCUUCGGGUUGUAAACCUCUUUCAGUAGGGAAGAAGCGAAAGUGACGGUACCUGCAGAAGAAGCACCGGCUAACUACGUGCCAGCAGCCGCGGUAAUACGUAGGGUGCGAGCGUUAUCCGGAAUUAUUGGGCGUAAAGAGCUCGUAGGCGGUUUGUCGCGUCUGUCGUGAAAGUCCGGGGCUUAACCCCGGAUCUGCGGUGGGUACGGGCAGACUAGAGUGCAGUAGGGGAGACUGGAAUUCCUGGUGUAGCGGUGGAAUGCGCAGAUAUCA
rnacentral:rRNA from 1 species